GCCUGCAUCAUCACAUCUGCCGCAGCAUUCUCUAUCAUUGAGACAUUUUCUCAGGAAAUCACCUGUGAAAUAUUUUGCAGCUAACCACCUACCUGUGCCCCACCAGCCAACAUGCUUUACUCCUGCCAGGCAGGUUCUCUGUAGCCCUCUGGAUUCUGUCUGCCUCUGUUAUAUCUUCACGAACAAGUUACGCAGCCUCAACUAAAGCUUGUAACAGAGCAAAGUUACUCUCCUGAGUGUGUCCUCUGAUGGAUGGUGAGAUAUAACUUCAAGAUGAAGCCUCACCCACACUCCCUGUACAAAAACGCUUCUCACGUAAGUGUCUCUUUAAGUGCUUACUGUAGUAUGACUUAUUGCUAAACUUUCGUCCACACUCUUGGCAUUCAUAAGGCCUCUCUCCUGUGUGUAUUCUUUCAUGCACAGUGAGGUCUGACUUACUGGUAUAGCCUCGCUUACACUCCUGGCAAACAAAAGGCUUCUCCUUUGAGUGUAUCCGCCAGUGGUGUCUGGUGAGACUUCUCUUCCAGCUGAAGCCUUGCCCACACACAUUACACACGAAGGGCUUCUCCCCUGAGUGUGUCCUCUGGUGUGUGAGGAGAUUUCCCUUCCAGUUGAAGCCUCGCCCACACUCCUUGCAUACAAAAGGCUGCUUGCCAGAAUGUGCAAGCUGGUGUUUCACAAGAUUUGACUUCCAGAUAAAUCCUUGCCCACAUUCACUACAGAUGAAAGGCUUCUCCCCUGAGUGUGUCUUCUGGUGGAAGAGGAGAGUUGAUUUUAGGAUGAAGCCUCGCCCGCAAUCCUUGCAAUUAAAUGGCCUUUCCCCUGAGUGUGUCCACUGAUGUCUAAGAAGAUUUGCCUUCAAACUAAAACUUUUCUCACACUGCUUGCACAUGAAGGGCUUCUCUCCUGAGUGUGUCCUCUGAUGUAUGGUGAGAUUUGGCUUCAAGGUAAAGCCUCGCCCACAAUCCCUGCAGAAAAAACGUUUCUCACCCAAGUGUGCCCUCAGGUGCUUGUUAUAGGAGGACUUAUCCCGAAACCUUCGCCCACACUCCCGACAUCCAUAAGGCUUCUCCUCUGAGUGUGUCCUCUGGUGUAAAGUGAAGGUUGACUUUUGGAUAAAGCCUCGUCCACAGUCCUUGCACACAAAAGGCUUCUCCUCUGAGUGUGUGAUCUGAUGUUUCACAAGGGUUGACUUCUGAAUAAAUCCUUGCCCACAUUCUCUACAAACAAAAGGUUUCUCCCCUGAGUGUGUUCUCUGGUGGUAGACAAGAGUAGACUUUUGGCUAAAGCUUCGCUCACAAUCCUUGCACACAAAAGGCUUCUCCCCUGAGUGUGUUCUCUGGUGUCUGAGGAGACUUCCUUUCACGCUAAAACUUUGCUUACACUGCCUGCACGCAAAGGGCUUCUCCCCUGAGUGUGUCCUCUGGUGUGUGAUAAGGUGUGACUUAUUGCUAAAGCCUCGGCCACACUCCUGGCAUCUGUAAGGCUUCUCUCCUGAGUGUAUUCUCUUGUGCACAACGAAGUAUGACUUAUUAGUAUAGCCUCGCCCACACUCCUUGCACACAAAAGGCUUCUCCCCUGAAUGCGCCUUCAAGUGCUUGUUGUAUGAGGACUUAUCGUUAAACCUUCGCCCACACUCCUGGCAUUCAUAAGGCUUCUCUCCUGUGUGUGUUCUCUCAUGCACAGUGAGGUAUGACUUACUGGUAUAGCCUCGUCCACACACCUUGCACAGAAAAGGCUUCUCUCCUGAGUGUGUCCUCUGGUGUCUGAGGAGGUUGGCCUUGAGGCUGAAGCCUCGCCCACACUCACUGCACACAUAGGACUUCUCUCCUGUGUGUGUGUUCUGGUGCAAGAGCAAUGCUGACUCAUCUCUAAAGCCCUGGUGACACUCCCUGCAUGUAAAAAGUUUCUGCCUGGAAUGUGCUUUUUUGUGUAUGAUUACCAUCAUCUUCCGGCUGAAGUCUUGCCCACGCUCUGCACACUUGAAUGCUCCCCAUCUUGAAUUUUCUAUUCCUUUCAAUACUUUGUCUAUUUCUGUAGGAUUUUCCCUCUGGCCUUGACUAGACUCUAUUUCCACUACACUGUUCCUCCUCCUUGAGCUUACUGCAUGUCUUAGGGGUGGGCUGGAAAAUGCCAUGGGCUUAGUGCUUUUUUCUUUCUCUUGACCUUCAGCUGUGUCACUCUGGAAGCUUUGAUCAGAAAAUUGUAGUUGCUGUUGCCUCUGAUGUGCAAGUCCAAGAUUCUUGGGCCGCAGGACAUGUUCUGCAUAUAUUCCUGGAGAAUAGACCAACAAUGAGACUGAAUCAGUAACGAAAAGUCUUCUAUGAAAGAAAAACCCAGAACCAGAUUGCUUUACUGCUUAAUUCUAAUAAACUCAUAAAGAACAACAAACACCAAUUCUUCUCAAACUAUUCCAAAAAAAUUGAAGCAGGGCAGGGAGGAAUUCUUCCUAACUCAUUCUAAAAGGCCAGCAUUAUCCUGAUACCAAAACCAGACAAGGACACAGCAAAAACAGAGAACUACAGGCCAAUAUCCCUGAUGAUGCUAAAUGGAAAAAUCCUCAACAAAAUACUAGCAAAACCAAUGCAACAACACAGAAAAGAUAAUACACCAUGAUCA
rnacentral:lncRNA from 1 species